GGCAGCAGUAAGGAAUAUUGCACAAUGGGGGAAACCCUGAUGCAGCAACGCCGCGUGGGUGAUGAAGGCCUUCGGGUUGUAAAACCCUUUUCCAUGGGAAGAGAAAAAGGACGGUACCAUGGGAACAAGUCUCGGCUAACUACGUGCCAGCAGCCGCGGUAAAACGUAGGAGGCGAGCGUUAUCCGGAUUUACUGGGCGUAAAGGGCAAGUAGGCGGUAGCACAAGUUGGGUGUGAAAUCUCCCGGCCUAACUGGGAGGGAGCGCUCAAGACUAUGUUACUAGAGGGCAGAAGAGGGGGGUGGAACUCCUAGUGUAGCGGUGGAAUGCUCAGAUAUUAGGAAGAACACCAGUGGCGAAGGCGACCCCCUGGUCUGAACCUGACGCUGAGGGGCGAAAGCUAGGGUAGCAAACGGGCUUAGAUACCCCGGUAGUCCUAGCUGUAAACGUUGGAUACUAGGUAUUGGGGGUAAUAAACUCCCUCAGUGCCGAAGCAAACGCGUUAAGUAUCCCGCCUGGGGACUACGGCCGCAAGGUUAAAACUCAAAGGAAUUGACGG
rnacentral:rRNA from 1 species